rnacentral:rRNA from 1 species
AAACUAGAUACAAGCGAGCGGCGGACGGGUGAGUAACGCGUGGGGAACCUGCCCCGUACCGGGGGAUAACACCUGGAAACAGGUGCUAAUACCGCAUAACAGAAGGGGACGCAUGUUUCUUUCUUGAAAACUCCGGUGGUACGGGAUGGACCCGCGUCUGAUUAGCUGGUUGGCGGGGUAACGGCCCACCAAGGCGACGAUCAGUAGCCGGCCUGAGAGGGCGGACGGCCACAUUGGGACUGAGACACGGACCAGACUCCUACGGGAGGCAGCAG